rnacentral:rRNA from 1 species
ACUUACGGCCAUACCAGCCUGAAUACGCCCGAUCUCGUCCGAUCUCGGAAGCUAAGCAGGGUCGGGCCUGGUUAGUACUUGGAUGGGAGACCGCCUGGGAAUACCAGGUGCUGUAAGCU